GACGAACGCUGGCGGCAUGCCUAAUACAUGCAAGUCGAGCGAACUGACGGAGGAACUUGUUCCUCUUGACGUGAGCGGCGGACGGGUGAGUAACACGUGGGAAACCUACCUUUCAGCGGGGGAUAACGUUCGGAAACGGACGCUAAUACCGCAUAACGUUAACAGUCGCAUGAUUGUUAAAUAAAAGACGGCUCUGCUGUCACUGAAAGAUGGACCCGCGGUGCAUUAGUUAGUUGGUAAGGUAACGGCUUACCAAGACGAUGAUGCAUAGCCGACCUGAGAGGGUGAUCGGCCACACUGGGACUGAGACACGGCCCAGACUCCUACGGGAGGCAGCAGUAGGGAAUCUUCCGCAAUGGACGUAAGUCUGACGGAGCAAUGCCGCGUGUAUGAAGAAGGUCUCCGGAUCGUAAAGUACUGUUAUCAGCCAAGAACAAUUCACAGAGUAACUGUUGUGGAUCUGACGGUAACUGAUCAGAAAGCCACGGCUAACUACGUGCCAGCCGCCGCUGUAAUAC
rnacentral:rRNA from 1 species